CUCCGGUUGAUCCCGCCGGACCCGACUGCUAUCAGAGUGGGGCUAAGCCAUGCGAGUCGACGUAGCAAUGCGUGGCGAACGGCUCAGUAACACGUAGUCAACAUGCCCAGGGGACGUGGAUAACCUCGGGAAACUGAGAAUAAACCACGAUAGGUCACGAUUUCUGGAAUGGAUCAUGGCCUAAAUCUACAUGGCCCCUGGAUUGGACUGCGGCCGAUCAGGCUGUUGGUGAGGUAAUGGCCCACCAAACCUAUAACCGGUACGGGCUCUGAGAGGAGAAGCCCGGAGAUGGGCACUGAGACAAGGGCCCAGGCCCUAUGGGGCGCAGCAGGCGCGAAACCUCUGCAAUAGGCGAAAGCCUGACAGGGUUACUCUGAGUGAUUUCCGCUAAGGGGAUCUUUUGGCACCUCUAAAAAUGGUGCAGAAUAAGGGGAGGGCAAGUCUGGUGUCAGCCGCCGCGGUAAUACCAGCUCCUCGAGUGGUCGGGGCGAUUAUUGGGCCUAAAGCAUCCGUAGCCGGUUCCAUAGGUCUCCUGCAAAAUCCAGUCGCUCAACGAUUGGCCCGCAGGAGAUACCGUGGGACUAGGAGGCGGGAGAGGUGGACGGUACUCCACGUGUAGGGGUAAAAUCCUUUGAUCCGUGGAAGACCACCAGUGGCGAAGGCGGUCCACCAGAACGCGCUCGACGGUGAGGGAUGAAAGCUGGGGGAGCGAACCGGAUUAGAUACCCGGGUAGUCCCAGCUGUAAACGAUGCAGACUCGGUGAUGGGCUAGCCUUGUGCCAGCCCAGUGCCGCAGGGAAGCCGUUAAGUCUGCCGCCUGGGGAGUACGGUCGCAAGACUGAAACUUAAAGGAAUUGGCGGGGGAGCA
rnacentral:rRNA from 1 species